UCGGACUCAAUAAGUCAUGGCUGUUACUGUUCACAGUGAGGAAUGGUUUUAAGCACGUACGUAAUCAGUAAAUAAUUUUCUUUGUGCUGUUGGGUUUUCUAGAGAAUUCUUUAGCGUCAUUUAAGCAUGACGUUUUGCGCCAGUCUGUGUGUAGUGAAGCAACGAUGACGCUCCUCGGCAGGAUGCAUAUUUCCUUUGGAACGACCUUGCCUGAAUGAUUAGUCAGUAUCCGAAGUUAAGAGUUGAACGGUGGAGCCAAUAUUCAGUGAGUGGCCGGCCGGCCACUCACCACGGAGACUCGCUUUCAGUCUCAAGGCCAUUCACCUGGGGUUUGUGGUGGAAGAACUGGGACAAGUUCAUUUCCCUUCAAAGAGGUGUUUCAGAUUUACUUCCUGUCUCCAUCAUCAGGGUGAUGAUCAAGAAAUUCCUCUACAUUCAGUAAAGCCAUCAUCGAUAAAUUGGACCUGACCUGCUGGAAUAGAAUGCAAGGAAGCCGGACAAGGACUCAACGGUGUCAUGGAUACUUGAGGCAUUCCUCGCUACACUGGGCAUCAUCAGCACGGGUCGGCAGGUACGAAUGUGACCACUAGAACUCGCCGCGUGGCCCGACCUUGCGGACGAGGACUGUUACGAAUUCAAAACAACGACAGACGAAGAAAGGAGCGGAAUGAAAGAGGUUAUUUCUGCACCGAAAACUUCGCUACAUGACGACCCCAACCGAAUGCCCAUCUUAAACGGUAGGUGCUGGGAUCGGUGAACAGUU